GCCAUAUUCUAGAACCAUUUCUCAUGGUUCUUCCUGCCUCUCCUAAGGCUUCUUCCUGUUGCCUCCAUUUCUUUCUUUUCUUCUUCUUUCCCUUUUUUCUCACCUUUCCCUUCUCCUCCCUCCUCCUUUUCCUUCCUGUUCUUCACUUUUGGUUUCUCCCUCUGUCCCCUCCCUGUCUCUUUCUGUCUACUGUGGAUUGAACCCAGGGUCUUUCGCUGAGCUAUAUCCUCAGCCUUUUUUUCAUUUUUAAUUUUAAGACAGGGUAUUGAUAAGUUGCAGUCUUCCUGCCUCAGCCUCCCGGAGUGCUAGUUAUAGGCAUAUGCCACUGUGCCAGCUCUGCCUCCAUUUCUUCAAGUCUCAAGUUUGUCCUAACAGCUCUGUGGCAGAAACAGCAGUACUUUCCGACUACCUCCCUAUGCUUCCCGGCUUCCUUUCCAGCUACGCUGGAGCUGCAUGACAGCCAGGAGCUCCUGGGCCAGACUUCCAGGCGGAGGCAGUGAGCAGGAUUGAAUCCAGGGCUGUGCUCAUGCUAAGCAUAUACUGUACCACUGAGCUGCAGAGCUGACGCAGAGUGACUACAAACAGUUGUGGGAUACAUGUCUAUAAUGUACUGGUCAAGUCAGGAUCUCAAGGAAACCCAUGAGAAUUUCUGCAUCCGGGUCCUGAGAGGCCGUGCUGGGAUCCCACGCUUCAGGCUGACGUCAGCUCUAGGCCCGCCUAUUGAAAACUUGCUCGAGUUCCAGGAGAAGCCCAGGUGUGGCUCCUCUGAAGAUCUGGACCUGGGAAGAUUGAUCACCAUGUGUUGUCCAAGUGGGCCCUCGGUAGAUGGUGGCCUUUAUUGAAAUGAAGGGCUUCAAAGGUGUGGAUCGAGCCACAGCCAAGGAGCACAGGUGACCCCCAGAAGCUGGAAAAUGCAAGAAAACAGAAACAGACCCUUCCUAGGAGCUCCCAGGAGGACCCAGCGCUGCUGACACCCGACUUCUGCCUGCUGAAAUUGACUUGGACACCCAACCUCCAGAACUGUUAAAGGUAUAGAUUUGUUAUUUUUAAAAAGCCUUCUUCUCUCUGCAGUCCAUUAAGAAUCUCAAAUCUCUACUUACUAACAUUGCUUGAGACUCUAGCUUCUUGAAUCUGAAGCGUUUUGAAAACUCUCAGCCGGGAACUCUUGAGUUUCCUCCACACCAGCUCUUUCUUCUGAAAUAUCCUUCCUUCUGACUGCAGGGGACUUUCAUUCUAGUUUCCCC
rnacentral:lncRNA from 1 species